rnacentral:misc_RNA from 1 species
ACACGUGCACUUCAUUAGCAGCAUACCCGACGCUGAAGGUGCACGACUCACUUACCUCGGGAGGACUGAGCGGCGAAGGAAAAGAGAAGCCAAUGGAAGAGUUGGGUACUGCUGCUCUCCGUUUUCUCGCUGUGUCUCUCUCGCUCGGCCUUUCUUGUUUUCUCUAAGCUCUCCAUCGAUCGUGCUCUUCUCACAAAUGGCGCUCACUGUGACUUCGUCAUCUGCUCCGUCAGGCGGGGCGGAGGCUGUUUACUGGAAUCUGCUCGGCCACUCCGAGGACGUCUUGUGUGCCGCCGCGCAUGGCCGCGUGUGCGCCACCGGCGACGUUGAAGGGGCAGUGUUGCUGUGGCGCUUUGCUGGGGCAGUGCCAGAGCACGUCUGCUGCAUGAACACGGGAGGACCUGCAGUAGUAGACGUGGCGUGGAGUGGCGCCACAGCGCUGCUGGCUGCUCAAGGGGACGGGUGCGCCACCGUCUGGGAUGUCGAGAAGGGUGCACGGCUUCGCACCAUCUCUAGGUUCGCCGUCAAGGGCCGAUGUGCGUGGCCGGUGGUAAACUGCGUGGCGGCGACGGCACGCGGCUCGUUUGUGUUUGGCGGCGAUGACGGCUACCUUGUCACAGCGGACAAGCGAAGCGACAAGGUCGUGGUGGGUGCACACAUCGCCGUUCCCCUCACAAGCGCCGCGACUACCGGCUUCUCUCUGUUUGUCGGAGACGUGUGCGGGACGCUUCACUGGUUCGACAUCCGGGCGGGGUCAAGGGAGAUGGAGCGCAUUGUCUGUGGCUCUGCCGGGAUCACCAGUAUCAUAACAGACCCUCUGCAAGAUCGGGUGAUAACGUACUCGAUGAGUGGGACGGUACAGGUAAUUGAUACGCAGCCCUUUGCGUUGUCAUCGUCGGAUCGCCUGUUGGGUGCGACAGAGCUGGGCGUGAAUGAGCGCCAGGCCCUGUUGCGUGGGGCAUGGGUGCCGCAUUCCGAUGCUGUAGUAAUGCCAAACGGCAAGGGCAAUGUCGUAUCCGUCUCCGCGAAGGACGUUGUGGGAGGGGCUACGCGCACAGUGCACGCAGGCAGCACUGGGUCGGCGAUGAACGUAAGUGUCUGCGUUGACGAUGAGUACAUAGUCUGCAGCGGCGAUGGUGGCGAGGUGGCGGCGUACAAGUGGUAGAAACUGCGCUUUGCGCUGGCGUAAUAUGGUGAGAUUGCACGCGACGCAGUAAACGCACCGACGAGUGCCUCCCACGUUGUGGGAGGCUCCGAAACGCGAGGCAACCUCACGAGAAGACGGGAAAAGGACACACAGAGAAGAUAAAAACGUUGGAGAAGUGCUUGCAGUGAGGCGGCGUACUACUGUGCCUCAUCACGUUUUUUGCGAACCGCUGAUGAAACUACUCCCGCUAUUCUCGUUUAUCACGGUGCACUUCUUCGACGCCCUCCGCGGUUGUCAUUGGCGUGAGUCUCGUGGUGGUGUGUGUCUCUGCGGGAACUUCUUGAAGCGCACGCUUGCCGCAUGCAGCCCGAGGAGUGGCGCUAUCGAGUGCAAACCCACUCCGCAUGAACUAGCCCCCUUCCUUUCUCAGUUGAUGUUCGAUGGAUUUGUCCCCCGCUCUCCUCCGCCCUGCCAAGUACACGCUCUUUCUGUUCUCUCCCCUGGUGUUCCUGCACCGUACCCUCCUCUUCUCUCCACAUUUUUGUUUGCUCGACGACUCUUGUUUCACCUGUCUUCUUGACUUGCGCGCGCCACUCCACGUCCCCACACACACACACACACACACACACAUACAAG